rnacentral:lncRNA from 1 species
AUGGUUUUUGCAUUACUUUCCCAAGAACAUCUCAUGCUUUUUAUUGCUCUUCUCCCAACACCUACCACCAGCGAUGACGAGUCACCUAAAGCUUUGGGACUAGGCAUUAGCACAUUUCACAAGAUGGCCUCUGGACUGCAGUUUGCUGAGGACCUGCCUGAUGCUGACUGGGCACAUUUGAGGGUCUAUGCAACUGAAUUCAUUGGGACAGCCUGGCUUAAUAGACAGGAAGAAAUAACGCCUGUACAGUGCUCUGCCUUCUCCCCACGCCUCGAAGUGAUUGCUCCCGUGCACAUUUUUCUUCAGUGAAAUGCGCAGGCAGGACUGAGGGGGUGCAAACCUUUUGCCAGCGUUCUUUUGGGCUGACCAGGCUCCAUUGUGCCUCAGCAGCAGGGCUGUUCCUAAACCAUGCUGCUGAAAAGUGCAUACCACACUGUAAUGCAGUCGCUAUAUAUAGUCUGUAAAGAGCUUUUGGAAACCAUGAGGAAAAGAGCUAUUUGAUGUACAAUAAAUUAUUAAUUGUUAUUAGUUACUAUCUUGAC